rnacentral:rRNA from 1 species
UUAGGAAUAUUCGUCAAUGGGGGAAACCCUGAACGAGCAAUGCCGCGUGAACGAUGAAGGUCCUCUGGAUUGUAAAGUUCUGUUGUUUAGGAAGAAAUGUACUGAUAGGAAAUGAUCAGUGCUUGACGGUACUAUUCAAGAAAGCCACGGCUAACUACGUGCCAGCAGCCGCGGUAAUACGUAGGUGGCGAGCGUUAUCCGGAUUUAUUGGGCGUAAAGCGUCCGCAGCCGGUUUAUUAAGUAUAGAAUUAAAUUUCGGGGCUUAACCCCGUCUCGUUCUAUAAACUGAUAGGCUAGAGUGUGGUAGAGGCAAGUGGAAUUCCUAGUGUAGCGGUUAAAUGCGUAGAUAUUAGGAGGAACACCAGUGGCGAAGGCGACUUGCUGGGCCAUAACUGACGGUCAGGGACGAAAGCGUGGGGAGCAAAUAGG